rnacentral:misc_RNA from 1 species
AGAAUUUAGGACGAACUUUAUAUCUCAAAGCUAAUUGCCAAAGAUAGAUUAAACAACGUAACCAACCAAAGAUAGAUUAAACAUGCACUAACAGCAAAGACAAUGAUGAGACAUGCAUGUGACAUUGGUUUAGGAGCGGGGAGUAUUUGUAUGACACGAACUUAGCUAGCAUAUCUUUCGAAUGAUGACAUGGACACCAUGUUCGGGCUCUACGAUCAUUCUGUAAGCGGGCGAAUGCCUGUAUUUGGUAGAUAGGGAGAGACUGAACUUGGAAACAAUAAGGGACAGGACAACCUUCAAUUGAGCCAUAGCAAAGUUCCUGCCCAAGCACAAGCGAGGACCAACUCCGAAUGGAAUGUAGGCUUGAGGAAGCUUACAAGCUUUAGAGACACCCCCAGCGAACCUCUCGGGCUUGAACUCGCUGGCAUCUGGUCCCCAAAUUUCAGGAUCUCGAUGCAAUGUUGGUAUCAGAGUCCAUAAGCACACACCUUUGGGAACAAUAAUAUUUCCAACUUGAGUAUCUUCAAGUGCUUCCCUUGAUACGAAUGCUGCUGGUGGGUACAGCCGUAGGGCCUCUUGAAUCACCAUGGUCACCGUUUUUAAGUGGAGUGAAUCAGCAGCAGGGAGGCCAUCCCUGCAUACUUGAGCCAGUUCUAUCCUGAUAGGAUCUUGCCAUUCUGGAUGUAAAGCAAGUAGCAUCAAGCACCAGGAGGCCGCAACAGCAGUCGAUUCAUGGCCAGCGAAGUAUAUAUUCUUGCAGUUAUCGACUAUGAAGCGCUUGGAUGAAUCCUUUCCAAGACCUUGAUCAUUAAUGGCCCCUUCCAGUAUCAACUGCAUUAAAUCUUUUUGUGAUGAUGUCCCUUGACAUUCUCGUUCACGUUCCUUCACUGCGCCCCAAAUCAAUGACUCGACCUCUCUCUCCAAACUGACUAUCUCGUUUAGCUUCUUUACCGGAAAAAAUCUGCACAUUACAAAAAUCUGCAUAUAAAGGAGUACUCGUAAUAAACUACCGAAAAUUAGUGCAUGUAAAUGCCAUCCAAUAACUAAGACGAUGAAAUUACAAAGUUCAAUAAUCGUAGGUUAUGCGAGCCAGUGCAUUGGUCUGACUGGUACCAGAUUAUCAGCCAAGUGGCCAGCAAUUAAAAAAUAGUUGGAGUUGACGAUAUUAAUAGGUAAAAAUCUACGUGUACAAGUAAAGAAAAUUUACGUGUACGAGUAAAGAAAUUAGUCAUACCUAAACAUAGUCUAAGUAACUAAGUAUGGGCUAUAUUAACAGAAGUUUCCCCAUUUAAAAAAAAAAAAGAGGUUACUGCUGGAAAAAAAAAUAGAGCAGAGAAAAUUUGAGAGGGCUGAAAAAAGAGUUUAAGAGCUAAGAAAAAGAGGCUUUGAAUUUGUAUAUGUAAAUCCCCUGUUUUAGUAAUGAAUUUAUAUUUUUUUUACUUCUACUUGUACUAGCAUAAAUCUCUCUUAAAUUCCUUAAUUUUUUCUUCCGUCAAACCCAACAAAAACAUACCCGAAACUAUAGCCACCAACUCCAAAAAGAAUGCUUUGUUUGGAAAUGGCUUUUUGCAGACUUCUAAGCAGAGAGAAGAUCUGUUUGCCUUUAGUAUAGGAAAUCCCAAAAAAAGCCCUUGAGAUGACAUCUGCUGAGACACUUCUCAAAUCCUCAUCUACUAGAACAUCUGCUGCCACGCCACCUUGUGCUUCAAUGUACUCCGUCCAUUUCCUCAGCAAUGGUUGUGCCGACUCCACCAUUAGGCCCACCAUCCCCUGCCAGUUAACUCGUGGUCCCAAGACUUAAUUAGACAAAAUAAUUCUUGCUUUUUAAAGGACCCUCUUACGCGAUACACAGGCUGGCUAUUGUCUAUUGAUAUUUAGUUUGAUUAGUUUCUUACCUUGACCUUGUCUAUGUAGAACUCGGGCGCGACAAUUUUCCUCUGUUGAGCCCAGAGAAGGCCAUUUGACCUUAAAAUGCCAUUACCGAGCAUGGGUGCAAGCCGCUUUGUUACAUAACAAGGUUUUCCUAAAUCCAAAGUCAUGCUUUGAUUCAUUUCCUUCACUAGCUCAGGCUGGUUCACGUACAAGUGUUGCUUCAUUCCCGUUGAAUACGUGUACAAUGGACCGUAUUCUUUUCUCCACUUCUCGAAGUAUGGGAAGAGAGUGGAAGUGUAGUCAUGGGCUAUUAAAUCACGAUGAGUGCUGGACGCUUUGCCGUUGAUGAUCUUGGAUUGGAUUUUCUGCAUCUCGGGUAGAUUCCCAUAUAAAAACGAAGGUGGUGGUCCUUUGAUGCCUUGCAUUCGAAGCUUCCUUCUGAUCCUAUCCGAAUUUAGUAUCAUAGUGAUAUAUAGAUGAAGCAACAAGAAAACCAGAGCAAGAAGAGCUAGGGAAGAAACCAUUGUCGAAAGAGAAGGGACCUCCAUUUCUUCGACUUGUAGCGCUGAAGAAACCAACUUCGGCUAUGUAUUGCUGGACCUAAAAGAUGAAUACAAAUAUAUAGUGGUGUGAAAGCUAUGCUGGCUCCUUAUUAUAUAUAAACUAUAUCGCGUGUAGAGAGAGA